GACGAACGCUGGCGGCGUGCCUAACACAUGCAAGUUGAGCGACGAACCAGGGCUUGCCCUGGGGCAAAGCAGCGAACGGGUGGGUAACACAUGGGUAACCUACCCCGCUAACCGGGACAACCCAAGGCGACACGGGCUAAUACCGGAUGUACUCACUAUACUUCGGUUCAGUUCGUAAAGGAAGCUUCGGCCUCCGUAUCGGGAUGGGCCCGCGGCCCAUUAGUUUGUUGGUGAGGUAACGGCUCACCAAGACCGCGAUGGGUAGCUGGGCUGAGAGGACGAUCAGCCACACUGGGACUGAGACACGGUCCAGACUCCUACGGGAGGCAGCAGUGGGGAAUCUUGCGCAAAGCGCGAAAGCGUGACGCAGCAACGCCGCGUGGGGGAAGAAGGCCUUCGGGUUGUAAACCCCUGUCAGGAGGGACGAACGUUCGGCGGUGAAUAGCCGUCCGGACUGACGGUACCUACACAAGAAGCCCCGGCUAACUACGUG
rnacentral:rRNA from 1 species